GAGCGGGCGGGGCGCGCGGCGGCCGCGGGUGGGCGGCGGUGUGCGCAGCGGGGCCGCGGGGCGGCUGCAGCGAGCGCCUCCCGGGCAGGCCGCGCUCCCGGCGGCAGGAGGCGGCGCCGCGGCCUCGGAGCGGGUGACAGUGUCGGGCCGGGCGGGGGCAGCCCGAGGGCGGCGUCGGCCAACCGCGUCGCUGGCUUCCGCGCACGCAGCCUGGCGCGGCGACACGCGCACACCCGCGGCCGAAUCGGGGGAGGGAGCGGAGCCCGCCGAGCGCCAGAUCCCCGCGCCCUGCGAGUCGCCAGGGCAGUAAGGGGCACGCGCGGUGGGACGCUGAAGAAUGGGACAGCGCUGCGCCUGGGCUCUCUGUGACAGAGAUAUUGUCUUUCCCUUCCUGGAGAUAGGAGUUAUUGCAGUAUUCUGUCUGGGUCUUUCCGUGUCAUCCGCCCCACGAUCGUCUUGACAACUCUGUAGCUAACAAGC
rnacentral:lncRNA from 1 species